rnacentral:lncRNA from 1 species
GGAGGCGAUUGUUUUCUUACUAAAUUACGAGAAGUGAGGUAAGCUAAAAGAGUGAGGUAGAGCGAGGGAGGGGUCUGCAAGAUCACUUCCAGUGAAGUUCAACCACAAACUCUAGGACUGAAGGCACAGAAUGAUGCGGGGGCCACAGUCUAACAGCUCAGAGCUCUCUCACCCAUUCAGAGGAGUCUCGAGGAAAAGGUGACCUUACAUCAGUACUUCUGAAAAUUUGGAUAUAAGCCUUCUUUCUAGAUCAAUCUAUACCAACUUAUCACUGACAGCACCUUCGUUGGAUACUGGAACUUGACUUUGUCUUCUGAUUUACAAAAUUUAUAUGGUUUCUACUGGGAUAGGGAAAGUGGAAUCACUUAUUUUGGAGAAGGAAAAGAAGUAAAUUUUUUAGUGUUACGGUAGAAGAAAUGUAUUCAGUGAAUGUAGCCUCGUUCAUCUGACAACACAAGACCCUUACACAUCAAGUAAUGUCCCAUUAAUAACCGAAGAUAAGUGCAAGUAUAAUCCAAGUGGCCCAAAACACUCCACAAGAACUCCACUUUAGUGUAUUUUUUUUAUGAUUUCUAUAGUACAUACUUGAUUUCAGUUGUUUUAGGGUUUCUCUUUUGUUUUAUUUUUAUCCUCCUAUUUCAGAGUGAAUGAGAGGAAGAAAAAAGAGUUUCAUUUGUUCCAAAGAAUAACUUAUUCAAGUCAGUAGAGCGAAAUCAAAAUGCCAUUUAAAGCCUGCAAAAUGCAUGGAAAUCUCAGAUUCCAGAGACCAGUACUAUCAAUGCAAAUAUGCAGAACCAAUGAAAUCAUUUUGAGGAGAAUUAAUAGGAAAACUACACAGACUAUUUUUUUUCUGCUUUAUCUCCCCAAACACCCCCUGCACACAGUUGUAUAUCUUAGUUGCACAUCCUUCUUGUUGUGGGAUGUGGGACGCCACCUCAAUGUGGCCUGACGACCGGUGCCAUGUCCACACCCAGGAUCCGAACCUUGGGCUGCCGCAGCGGAGCGCGCAAACUUACCCACUUGGCCACGGAGUCGGCCCCCAGACUAUUUUUUUAAAUCACCAAAUUUUAGCUUGGGGAAUCCUAUUUUCAGGCAGGACAUGGCAUGAAGAUCCUGGAUAUUCUCAAUGCUGAGGACAAAUCAGCAGAAGGACCGUGAGAUUCUGCUGCUAGAGGACGUUGGAGGGGCUGUCAACAUGCUUCUUGAAGUGUCAAAAGUGAAAAGAAAACGAAAAUUGUUUAAGCCCAACAAGGAAGGAUGUAAAUACGAGUUUUUC